GAUGUCAGUGGCAGACGGGUGAGUAACACGUGGGAACGUGCCCUUCGGUUCGGAAUAACUCAGGGAAACUUGAGCUAAUACCGGAUACGCCCUUUUGGGGAAAGGUUGACCGCCGAAAGAUCGGCCCGCGUCUGAUUAGCUUGUUGGUGGGGUAACGGCCUACCAAGGCGACGAUCAGUAGCUGGUCUGAGAGGAUGAUCAGCCACACUGGGACUGAGACACGGCCCAGACUCCUACGGGAGGCAGCAGUGGGGAAUAUUGGACAAUGGGCGCAAGCCUGAUCCAGCCAUGCCGCGUGAGUGAUGAAGGCCUUAGGGUUGUAAAGCUCUUUUGUCCGGGACGAUAAUGACGGUACCGGAAGAAUAAGCCCCGGCUAACUUCGUGCCAGCAGCCGCGGUAAUACGAAGGGGGCUAGCGUUGCUCGGAAUCACUGGGCGUAAAGGGCGCGUAGGCGGCCGAUUAAGUCGGGGGUGAAAGCCUGUGGCUCAACCACAGAAUUGCCUUCGAUACUGGUUGGCUUGAG
rnacentral:rRNA from 1 species